rnacentral:SRP_RNA from 1 species
ACUGGGAGCGUGGCGUCUCCUGUAACGUGGCUGCUCACGGGUCGGGUUACGGACUGAUUUGAGGUUGGGGUCCACUGUGUGCCGGGUAAGUCCAUGUUGACGGGACGUCCGCACUAAGCUGACCGUCAAUAUGGGUGCAAUGGGGGAGCCCGAUGCAUUCAGGUUGGCUAAAGAGAGAUGAACCGAGCGAGGGGUGAAAACCAGCAGCUAAAAGUCUCCGCGGUAAGCAGUAGUGGGAUCGCGUCCCGGAGUGGACUUCCGGUGCCAGCCUGACCAAUAUAGUCACACUGUAAUCUUU